UACGGAGGAUGCGAGCGUUAUCCGGAUUUAUUGGGUUUAAAGGGAGCGCAGACGGGUCGUUAAGUCAGCUGUGAAAGUUUGGGGCUCAACCUUAAAAUUGCAGUUGAUACUGGCGUCCUUGAGUGCGGUUGAGGUGUGCGGAAUUCGUGGUGUAGCGGUGAAAUGCUUAGAUAUCACGAAGAACUCCGAUUGCGAAGGCAGCACACUAAGCCGUAACUGACGUUCAUGCUCGAAAGUGUGGGUAUCAAACAGGAUUAGAAACCCGUGUAGGCUGACUGACU
rnacentral:rRNA from 1 species